rnacentral:rRNA from 1 species
GGCUAUGGGAAUCCGAUUAAGCCAUGCGAGUCGAGAGAUUUCGGAUCUCGGCAGACGUCUCAGUAACACGUGGAUAAUCUACCCUUGAGUGGGGGAUAAGCUUGGAAACCUGAGUAUAAUACCCCAUAGGCCUAGGAUGCUGGAAUGCUUCUAGGCUGAAAGCUCCGGCGCUCGAGGAUGAAUCUGCGGCCUAUCAGGCAGUAGUGGGUGUAACGGACCCACUAACCUUCGACGGGUACGGGCCUUGAGAGAGGUUGCCCGGAGUUGGACUCUGAGACACGAGUCCAGGCCCUACGGGGUGCAGCAGGCGCGAAAACUUCACAAUGUGGGAAACCACGAUGAGGGGGUUCCAAGUGCCAACGCUUUGUGUUGGCUGUUCACUUGCCUAAAAAGCUGGUGAAGUAAGAGCCGGGAAGACGGGUGCCAGCCGCCGCGGUAAUACCCGCGGCUCGAGUGGUGGCCACUAUUAUUGAGCCUAAAGCGUUCGUAGCCGGUUUCGUAAAUUUCUGGGUAAAUCGGGCAGCUUAACUGUCCGAAUUCCGGAAAGACUGCGAAACUUGGGACCGGAGGAGGUUGGAGGUACUCCUGGGGUAGGGGUGAAAUCCUGUAAUCCUGGGGGGACCACCAGUGGCGAAGGCGUCCAACCAAAACGGCUCCGACGGUAAGGGACGAAGCCCUGGGGCGCAAACGGGAUUAGAUACCCCGGUAGUCCAGGGUGUAAACGCUGCAGGCUUGGUGUUGGGGGUCCUACGAGGGCGCCCAGUGCCGGAGAGAAGUUGUUAAGCCUGCCGCUUGGGGAGUACGUCCGCAAGGAUGAAACUUAAAGGAAUUGGCGGGGGAGCACAGCAACGGGUGGAGCGUGCGGUUC